CUUCUUACCCUCACUAUUAUAUUAUUAUGUUAUUUGUGGUUCCCCACGUUUUUCUUUCCCAUUUUUAAAACAUUAAAAACUUGCGGUCUCCCCUCCAUGUUUCUCUUUCAUUUUUUAUAAAUAUUAAAAACAUAUAUGAUUCCCUCUCCCUCAUAAAUCGGACCAUAAAGUCCAAAACCUAACAGCCAACCCCACCCUCUCUCCACCUCUCUCCUUCCUACACCUGUCCUUCCUCUCUCAUUUUUCCCAUCUUGCUCUCUUUUCUCCAACCACCAUCGAACCACAUUUUCUUCCUACAACUUGUUUGGCGAUUUGGGAGCCAUUUUUAAGGGAAUUAUAUGGUUUCUCCCAUUACAGUCAUAUGUUUUGACUAUGGAGGAAGUUACAUCAAGCAUGGGCCUGAGAUAAAGUAGAUCUCGGGAGAAGAUCAAAUUCACACUCUAGUGAUGAAAAAUUCUGUGGAAGAGGUUACAUAUUCUGAACUGGUCGAGUGUAUAUGCAGAAAGAUUAAGGCAAAUGGAGAUGUGAUGGUGAAGAUUAGUUACUUUCCAUUGGUAUUGUAUUCAAACAAGCAUGAACUACUAGUAUUGUUAGAACUACUAUGUGUAAUAUGGACUACUAGGAACUACUAUGUACUACCCUGAACUACAAAAAAACUACUCUGUAUUACUAUUUGUUACGCAUGUUUCUAGGAACCUUAA